rnacentral:rRNA from 1 species
UACAGAGGGUGCGAGCGUUGUCCGGAAUCACUGGGCGUAAAGGGCGCGUAGGUGGCGGGCCAAGUCCAUGGUGAAAGCUCGAUGCUCAACAUCGAGUCGGCCACGGAUACUGGUUCGCUCGAGCACUGUAGAGGCUAAUGGAAUUCCGGGUGUAGCGGUGGAAUGCGUAGAGAUCCGGAAGAACACCGGUGGCGAAGGCGGUUAGCUGGGCAGUUGCUGACACUGGAGGCGCGACAGCGUGGGGAGCAAACAGG